rnacentral:rRNA from 1 species
GAUGAACGCUAGCGGCAGGCCUAAUACAUGCAAGUCGGACGGGAUUCAGGAGCUUGCUUCUGAUGAGAGUGGCGCACGGGUGCGUAACACGUAUGUAACCUACCUUUAUCAGGGGGAUAGCCUCUCGAAAGAGAGAUUAAGCCCGCAUAAAAUCACAGCACAGCAUUGUGUAAUGAUCAAAUAUUUAUAGGAUAAAGAUGGGCAUGCGGAACAUUAGCUAGAUGGCGGGGUAACGGCCCACCAUGGCGACGAUGUUUAGGGGAUCUGAGAGGAUGGCCCCCCACACUGGUACUGAGACACGGACCAGACUCCUACGGGAGGCAGCAGUAAGGAAGAUUGGGCAAUGGGCGGAAGACUGAACCAGCCAUGCCGCGUGCAGGAAGACGGCCCUACGGGUUGUAAACUGCUUUUAUACGGGAAUAAACCCAGAUACGUGUAUCUGGCUGAAUGUACUGUAAGAAUAAGGAUCGGCUAACUCCGUG